rnacentral:rRNA from 1 species
UAAAAUUUAUAAAAUUAGGUAGUAAAGAAAUUUCUGAAACCUAAAGAAUUUGGCGGUAUUUUAAAUAAUUGGAGGAACCUGUUAUUUAAUUGACAAUCCACAACAUAUCUUUCCUAAAUUUUAUUUGUAUAUCGUCGUUUUGAUAAUAUUUAGAAAUUAUAGUCAAUUUUAAUUUAAUUUUAAAAAUCAGAUCAAGGUGCAGUAUAUUUAGGUUAUAAUGGGUUACAAUAUAAAAAUAUAUUAUGGAUAUAAACUUGAAAUUAUAUUGAAAGUGGAUUCAAAAGUAAAAUUAAAAUAAAAUGUUAAUUUGAUUAAUAAUUUAAAAUAUGC